UGGUUCCCGCAUCGAUGAAGAACGCAGCAAAACGCGAUAGGUAAUGUGAAUUGCAGAAUUCCGUGAAUCAUCGAAUUUUUGAACGCACAUUGCGCCUACUGGUAUUCCGGUAGGCAUACCUGGUUGAGCAUCAAGCAAACAGAUCGGCAGAAUAUAAAAAAUGCCCAGUGAAAUUAAUAUAUCAAAUUUGAGAUUGAAUUAGUAUAAUCUAUUUCAAACUUUAAAGCCGCUGCACAAGCUACUCUCCGGUAAGGUAUAUGGAUUGGUGUUAAAUUAUCUUCCGUUACCGUCAGGAUGAAGCUUUUGUGUUAAAUUCGAAGAUGUCCUUUACAGACAACUUAGUUCUGAUAUCAGAUCAGGUAAGGAUACCCGCUGA
rnacentral:misc_RNA from 1 species